GACAGAGGAUGCAAACGUUGCUCGGAUUUACUGGGCGUAAAGCGCGCGCAGGCGGUUCUGUAAGUCGGACGGUGAAAGCCCGGGGCUCAACCUCGGAAGUGCGUCUGAUACUGCAGGACUGGAGUACUGGAGAGGAGAGCGGAAUUCCCCGGUGUAGAGGUGAAAUUCGUAGAUAUCGGGGAGGAACACCAGUGGCGAAGGCGGCUCUCUGGACAGAUACUGACGCUGAGGCGCGAAAGCUAGGGGAGCAAACAGG
rnacentral:rRNA from 1 species